rnacentral:rRNA from 1 species
GACGAACGCUGGCGGCGUGCUUAACACAUGCAAGUCGAACGGAAAGGCCCUGCUUUUGUGGGGUGCUCGAGUGGCGAACGGGUGAGUAACACGUGAGUAACCUGCCCUUCACUUUGGGAUAACUUCAGGAAACUGGGGCUAAUACCGGAUAGGAGCUCCUGCUGCAUGGAGGGGGUUGGAAAGUUUCGGCGGUUGGGGAUGGACUCGCGGCUUAUCAGCUUGUUGGUGGGGUAGUGGCUGACCAAGGCUUUGACGGGUAGCCGGCCUGAGAGGGUGACCGGCCACAUUGGGACUGAGGUACGGCCCAGACUCCUACGGGAGGCAGCAGUGGGGAAUAUUGCACAAUGGGCGGAAGCCUGAUGCAGCAACGCCGCGUGCGGGAUGACGGCCUUCGGGUUGUAAACCGCUUUCGCCUGUGACGAAGCGUGAGUGACGGUAAUGGGUAAAGAAGCACCGGCUAACUACGUG